UUUGUUCAUCCCAAGGAUUUUUCAACAAGCCACCACAACCACUGUGCCCGCUGUCCAGAGGGUGUCACAAGAGGUGUUGCAUGAGGAUAACGGUGAAGAUUGCAACGGCACCCAGGAGGCCCCUCAGCCUCUCCCAUUACAGCGGGGAGGGACGAGGUGCCAGCCCAUCACCCCCAUGCAGAUGGAUCAACAGGAAUAAGCACACGUCCCACCCUCCAGCAGUGGUAUAAAACCAGAAUGUUUUGGGCAUAGCAGCAUACCCUGACCCUAAUGCCAUCUGGAUAGAAGUGAUUCCAGUUGGGUUCUUUAGUGCUUGAACACCAAGACCUUCAUCAGGCGUCAGCCAUGAGGAUCAUGUACCUGCUCUUGGUCUUCUUCCUCCUGCUGUUCCAGGGUGCUGCAGGAAAGCUGGACCGCUGCCGACGAAGAGGUGGAUUCUGCAGAGCUACAGGCUGUCCCAGAGGUAGACCACCUAUUGGAAGAUGUGCGAAUGGUCUCCGAUGCUGCAGACGGUUCUGAGGCUGAGACCCUGAACUCUGUGAAGAGGAGGUCCCCCUCGCUUCUGGCUCCUGGAACCGUCUCCUGAUGUCCUCUCCCGUCCCUGCCUCUGCCAUCCCCAGUGGUGUGACAGGAGGAGUGGAAGCGCUGCUCCUGCUGGGGGCCCAGGCGCUCGUGGGCUGGAGACAUCCCAUCACAGACCUGGUGCUUUGGGGCAGAGGCUCUCUUUCCUGGCUUGAAUAAAGACGAGCAGU